UACAGAGGUCUCAAGCGUUGUUCGGAUUCAUUGGGCGUAAAGGGCUCGUAGGCGGUCCAUCGCGUCGGGAGUGAAAAGCUGGGGCUUAACCCCAGUCCUGCUUCCGAUACGGGUGGACUAGAGGUAGGUAGGGGAGAACGGAAUUCCUGGUGUAGCGGUGAAAUGCGCAGAUAUCAGGAAGAACACCAACGGCGAAGGCAGCUCGCUGGGACGGAACUGACGCUGAGGCGCGAAAGCGUGGGGAGCGAACAGG
rnacentral:rRNA from 1 species